rnacentral:rRNA from 1 species
AGUGUAGGUGGCCAUGCAAGUCAGAAGUGAAAAUCCGGGGCUCAACCCCGGAACUGCUUUUGAAACUGUAAGGCUAGAGUGCAGGAGGGGUGAGUGGAAUUCCUAGUGUAGCGGUGAAAUGCGUAGAUAUUAGGAGGAACACCAGUGGCGAAGGCGGCUCACUGGACUGUAACUGCACUGAGGCUCGAAAGCGUGGGGAGCAAACA